rnacentral:rRNA from 1 species
UACAGAGGGGGCAAGCGUUGUUCGGAAUUACUGGGCGUAAAGGGCGCGUAGGCGGCCUGUUAAGUCGAACGUGAAAUCCCUCGGCUUAACCGGGGAACUGCGUCUGAUACUGGAUGGCUUGAGGUUGGGAGAGGGAUGCGGAAUUCCAGGUGUAGCGGUGAAAUGCGUAGAUAUCUGGAGGAACAACGGUGGCGAAGGCGGCAACCUGGACCAAUUCUGGCGCUGAGGAGCGAAAGCCAGGGGAGCAAACGGG